UUCAGAUUGCUUUGGGAGUACUUCUCCAUCAGCUCCGCCAUUUCAAGAUUGAAUCUCUUCUUAGUGUUUGUGUCUGCUAUCUUCAUGAGAUCAUACAGAUUCUCCCUGUCUUCCACAAACGCUGUCAUUCUUUGUCCUGAAGUUUGAUAAAUUUUGCAACUUUCUCUGCCCUAACUCGAUAGCCCUCAAUAUCAUUUGCAAAAGAUUGUUUGAUCAUCUCUAGCUGUAGUCUUUUAAAUUGGUCCUUCUCAGCAGUGUAAAUGACUUUGAACUGAUCCUUGAAAAUUGUUCUUGAUACUCCAUCUCUUCCUUGUCUGCACAUAGUGCAUCAUUGUUCUCUUCCACUGGCUGACGGUGCUUUUCACUCACCAGACUAAGAUUCUUUUCAAGUGCUUUAGCUUUCUUUUGAUUCUUAGCACCUUGGUUCUUGAACCAUAUGAUCUGUUCAUUAUCCUCGCUGGAUUCCAAAAAGUUUCUUUAUACGACUUCAUCUCGAACUUCAACCUUGAUUUCCCAUAUGAAUGCUAGUUGAAAUUGUCCACAUCUCUUUUCUGCCAUGUAACCAUAAAUCAUACGUGGAUAAAAGCGAACUGGCAAAGUCGUCAUCACCUUGAAAUUCAUCCUCAUCACUGUCAUCAUCAGGCGAAUCCAAUUCAUUAUCCUCCCCAUCAGGUUCACAGGCCUUAACAUCGAAGCCCUGUCCUAAUUCAACAUUGUUACACACUCCCAGUUUCUGAACAAUAUCUAGAUGACCACCAAGUACUAUUCAGCUUGUUUCCCCAAGAUUCUGAAAUGGGAUUCUGAGGAAUCCAUUCCCAGAACCCGUGUUACUUGGACUUGCUAGCACACACAACCCAUCCAUUCAUUUUGAUCAGAGUUGAAGCCCAAAUCUCCAACACCUAUAUUUAUGUCAUCAACAGUAUUUGUUUCAGUGAUAGCUUUCUUCUUCUUGGUUGAUUUAUUAAAUGCUUUCCAACCCCUUUAUUGUUGUAACUCAUAUUUCCAACCCCUUUCCGUUCAGUUUGAGUGUGUGCAGGCGCAACAAAAAAUAGUUUGAAUUACUUGCACUAAUAAUCGGACCAGCAUCUGCGCUGUUAGUAUUGUCCUUUGCAAUACCUGCGACAAUAGCUUUCUCUUUCCCAACCUACAGCUCAGGAAUAUAUUAUAUGAGCAAGAAUAAUAUUGAUGAACACCAUAUAGACACAUUUGUUCAAGUGACUAUGAAGGUGACAGAGACAAGAACAAACUAUGAAAGGGAAGUCCAAUACCCAAAAUUAGAAGGGCUUUAAGAAGUAGAUGCAGCAAAAUGAUCUUAGCAAUAAUUGGGUGGGCUACAAAGGAACCCAACAUCACCUAAUGUUGGAUGUUGUUAUUGUACUAACUGUCCUUUACUUUUUUUUUUUGAGAGAUAUGUUGCAGUGAUGUGAUAAUGUGAUAUCGAGGUAUGGAGUAACUGUUUUGAUUUUGUGGUCAGUUUCAGUUAUCAAUUCUACUCAUGAAGCAUUUUUACAAGUGUGGUGAGGUAAAUAUUUCGAAGAGUUCAGCUCUAGGUUCCCCGACGUUCCUGUAUUUGGUGUCGAAUCCUUUGAGAAGGCCGUAAAAACUGUGGAAAACGUUGUGUUCGACGCUUUGCCAGCUUCACCAGAACAUUUUGAUGCGGAUUCUUGCUGAAAGUCCAGUUUACCCCAUGCUAUCGACAGUGCUCUCUCUAAAGAUUGUUGAACUCUAAGGUGUGGACUUAAUGAACUUUGACAAGAUAUCUGCCGCUGUCAGCUUGAUUGCAAGUGCUUGGAAUUUGCAAGACCUUCAUAUCGGCUUAGAAGCAUUAUAAGGUGCUUAGAAGAUGUGAAGACUUCUCAGGAGAAGCUUUGUCAAAGUUACAUAUGUCAAAAAUGUUCAUAGUUGUGAAGCUGAUCAAUGGUGGCAAGGUAAUUCUCAUAUCUGGCAAGCACUGGUGAGUUCAAAAAAUGAGGUGAAAAGACAUAUGUAGUAUUGGCAAGUGAAGGAUGGAUCAUCAAGCUUUUGGUGGGACAAUUCGGGUAAUUUUGGGCCACUUGGUUUUAUUGUGUUAUUGUUGUAGAAGGGAGGCUAGUAGCUGCUGUGUGGAGGUUCUUUUGAUUAAUUUGCAUGAGUUGGUGGACAUGCUCAGUGCUGCUUUCCAUUAAGUUACACCAGUUAUGGAACUUCUGUUCAAUUUCUUUCCUGUCGGUUAAAAUUUGCAAGCAAAGUUGAUAGAUGUAUUAAA